CCCUUUUUCCUCCACCGAUCUCUCUCAGUUUCUCGCCAGUCUAAGAACCAAGAUCUAAUAAGCUUUGGUAAAAUCAUGUGGUAAAAACAUUUGGCUAUGUUUUUGUUUCAUUGUUUUUUUCUGUUUCCAUCGCAAAUAUAUAGAGGAAGCUUUCCUGUUCCAAUAAUUUCUAGAAUAACUUUCUCUUUAAUUGUCGUGUCUUUUUCUUUCUAAUUAAUUACUGCGUCUAGUCCAGAAGUUUUGAUUUGAGUUGCUCUUGUUUGUUGGAGCUCA